rnacentral:rRNA from 1 species
GACGAACGCUGGCGGCGUGCCUAAUACAUGCAAGUCGAACGCAGUGGGGACGGGUGAGUAACACGUGGGUAACCUCCCAUCAGAGGGGAUAACACUUGGAAACAGGUGCUAAACCGAUACUGAUGGAUGAACCCGCGGUGCAUUAGCUAGUUGGUGAGGUAACGGCUCACCAAGGCCACGAUGCAUAGCCGACCUGUGAGGGGGAUCGGCCACAUUGGUAAUGGAAACCGGCCCAGACUCCUAGGGGAGGAAGCAGUAGGGAAUCUUCGGCAAUGGACGAAAGUCUGACCGAGAAACGCGGCGUGAGUGAAUAAGGUUUUCGGAUCGGAAAACUCUGUUGUUAGAGAAGCGGUAUCUAACCAGAAAGCCACGGCUAACUACGUGCCAGCAGCCGCGGUAAUAC